rnacentral:rRNA from 1 species
GAUUGAACGCUGGCGGCAGGCUUAACACAUGCAAGUCGAACGGUAGCAGGAGAAAGCUURCUUUCUUGCUGACGAGUGGCGGACGGGUGAGUAAUGCUUGGGAAUCUGGCUUAUGGAGGGGGAUAACUACUGGAAACGGUAGCUAAUACCGCGUAAUAUCGAGAGAUUAAAGACUGGGACCUACGGGCCAGUUGCCAUAAGAUGAGCCCAAGUGGGAUUAGGUAGUUGGUGGGGUAAAGGCCUACCAAGCCCGCGAUCUCUAGCUGGUCUGAGAGGAUGACCAGCCACACUGGAACUGAGACACGGUCCAGACUCCUACGGGAGGCAGCAGUGGGGAAUAUUGCACAAUGGGGGGAACCCUGAUGCAGCCAUGCCGCGUGAAUGAAGAAGGCCUUCGGGUUGUAAAGUUCUUUCGGUGGUGAGGAAGGUAUCAACUUUAAUAGAGUUGGUAAUUGACGUUAUCCACAGAAGAAGCACCGGCUAACUCCGU